AUUGAACGCUGGCGGCAGGCCUAACACAUGCAAGUCGAACGAGUGGCGGACGGGUGAGUAAUGUCUGGGAAACUGCCCGAUGGAGGGGGAAAACUACUGGAAACGGUAGCUAAUACCACAUACCAUCGGAUGUGCCCAGAUGGGAUUGGCUAGUAGGUGGGGUAACGGCUCACUGAGGCGACGAUCCCUAGCUGGUCUGAGAGGAUGAACGGCCACACGGGAACUGAGACACGGUCCAGAGUCCUACGUGAGGCAGCAGUGGAGAAGAUGGGACAAUGGGCGAAAGCCUGAUGCAGCCAUGCCGCGUGUAUGAAGAAGGCCUUAGGGUUGUAAAGUACUUUCAGCGAGGAGGCGUUACUCGCAGAAGAAGCGCCGGCUAACUACGUGCCAGCAGCCGCGGUAAUAC
rnacentral:rRNA from 1 species